CGUAGGGUGCAAGCGUUAAUCGGAAUUACUGGGCGUAAAGCGUACGCAGGCGGCUUUGCAAGACAGGUGUGAAAUCCCCGGGCCUAACCUGGGAACUGCAUUUGUGACUGCAUGGCUAGAGUUUGUCAGAGGGGGGUGGAAUUCCACGUGUAGCAGUGAAAUGCGUAGAGAUGUGGAAGAACACCGAUGGCGAAGGCAGCCCCCUGGGAUGUGACUGACGCUCAUGUACGAAAGCGUGGGGAGCAAACAGGAUUAGAUACCCUGGUAGUCCACGCCCUAAACGAUGUCUACUAGUUGUCGGAGGGUAACUCCUUCGGUAACGCAGCUAACGCGUGAAGUAGACCGCCUGGGGAGUACGGUCGCAAGAUUAA
rnacentral:rRNA from 1 species